rnacentral:rRNA from 1 species
GUGCCAGCAGCCGCGGUAAGACGGAGGAGGCUAGCGUUGUCCGGAUUGACUGGGCGUAAAGCGCGUGUAGGUGGGAUCUUAAGUCGGCGGUGAAAUUCUUCCGCUUAACGGAGGAACUGCCGCCGAAACUGAGGUUCUUGAGGGCAGGAGAGGAGAGUGGAAUUGCUGGUGUAGCGGUAAAAUGCGUAGAGAUCAGCAAGAACACCCGUGGCGAAGGCGACUCUCUGGACUGCUCCUGACGCUGAGACGCGAAAGCCAGGGGAGCGAACGGGAUUAGAUACCCCGGUAGUCCUGGCCGUAAACGAUGAUUACUAGGUGUCGGAGGAUCGACCCUUUCGGCGCCGUAGCUAACGCAUUAAGUAAUCCGCCUGGGGAGUACGGUCGCAAGACUGAA